CCUACGGGAGGCAGCAGUGGGGAAUUUUGGACAAUGGACGCAAGUCUGAUCCAGCAAUGCCGCGUGCAGGAUGAAGGCCUUCGGGUUGUAAACUGCUUUUGUACGGAACGAAAAGGUCUGCCCUAAUACGGUGGGCCCAUGACGGUACCGUAAGAAUAAGCACCGGCUAACUACGUGCCAGCAGCCGCGGUAAUACGUAGGGUGCAAGCGUUAAAUCGGAAUUACUGGGCGUAAAGCGUGCGCAGGCGGUUAUAUAAGACAGAUGUGAAAUCCCCGGGCUCAACCUGGGACCUGCAUUUGUGACUGUAUAGCUAGAGUACGGUAGAGGGGGGAUGGAAUUCCGCGUGUAGCAGUGAAAUGCGUAGAUAUGCGGAGGAACACCGAUGGCGAAGGCAAUCCCCUGGACCUGUACUGACGCUCAUGCACGAAAGCUGGGGAGCAAACAGGAUUAGAUACCCUGUAGUCCAGCCUAAACGAUGUCAACUGUNUUGGNUNUUCUNAUNUANACGAAGACACGCGNGAGUAGACGCG
rnacentral:rRNA from 1 species